AUUGAACGCUGGCGGCAGGCCUAACACAUGCAAGUCGAACGAGUGGCGGACGGGAGAGAUAUGUCUGGGAAACUGCCUGAUGGAGGGGGAUAACCACUGGAAACGGUAUAUAACACCGCCAAAUCUCGUAUGCCCCCAGAUGGGCUUCGCUAGUAGGUAGGGUAAAGGCUCACCUAGGCGACGCUCUCUAGCUGGUCUGAGAGGAUGACGAGCCACACUGGAACUGAGACACGGCCCAGACUCCUACGGGAGGCAGCAUUGGGGAAUAUUGCACAAUGGGCGCAAGCCUGAUGCAGCCAUGCCGCGUGUAUGAAGAAGGCCUUCGGGUUGUAAAGUACUUUCAGCGGGGAGGCGUUACCCGCAGAAGAAGCACCGGCUAACUCCGUGCCAGCAGCCGCGGUAAUUC
rnacentral:rRNA from 1 species